rnacentral:rRNA from 1 species
UAAUACGGAGGGUGCGAGCGUUGUCCGGAAUCACUGGGCGUAAAGGGCGCGUAGGUGGCGCGGAGAGUCAACGGUGAAAGCUCGGGGCUCAACCCCGAGUCGGCCGUCGAUACUUCCGGGCUGGAGCACUGUAGAGGCAGGUGGAAUUCCGGGUGUAGCGGUGGAAUGCGUAGAGAUCCGGAAGAACACCGGUGGCGAAGGCGGCCUGCUGGGCAGUUGCUGACACUGAGGCGCGACAGCGUGGGGAGCAAACAGGAUUAGAUACCCUGGUAGUCCACGCCGUAAACGAUGGGCACUAGGUGCUUGGGGGAGCGACCCUCUGAGUGCCGGCGCUAACGCAUUAAGUGCCCCGCCUGGGGAGUACGGCCGCAAGGCUG